rnacentral:rRNA from 1 species
GACGAACGCUGGCGGCGUGCCUAAUACAUGCAAGUAGAACGCUGAAGACUUUAGCUUGCUAAAGUUGGAAGAGUUGCGAACGGGUGAGUAACGCGUAGGUAACCUGCCUACUAGCGGGGGAUAACUAUUGGAAACGAUAGCUAAUACCGCAUAACAGCAUUUAACCCAUGUUAGAUGCUUGAAAGGAGCAAUUGCUUCACUAGUAGAUGGACCUGCGUUGUAUUAGCUAGUUGGUGAGGUAACGGCUCACCAAGGCGACGAUACAUAGCCGACCUGAGAGGGUGAUCGGCCACACUGGGACUGAGACACGGCCCAGACUCCUACGGGAGGCAGCAGUAGGGAAUCUUCGGCAAUGGGGGCAACCCUGACCGAGCAACGCCGCGUGAGUGAAGAAGGUUUUCGGAUCGUAAAGCUCUGUUGUAAGAGAAGAACGUGUGUGAGAGUGGAAAGUUCACACAGUGACGGUAACUUACCAGAA